UCCCUGGCGGUCCAGUGGUUAAGACUCUGCACUUCCAAUGCAGGGACUGUGAGUUCAAUCGCUGCUCAGGGAA
rnacentral:tRNA from 1 species